rnacentral:rRNA from 1 species
CAGUCGCCGCGGGAACACGGAGGGUGCAAGCGUUAAUCGGAAUUACUGGGCGUAAAGCGUGCGUAGGCGGUUCGUUAAGUCUGUUGUGAAAGCCCCGGGCUCAACCUGGGAAUGGCAAUGGAUACCGGCGAGCUAGAGUGUGUCAGAGGAUGGUGGAAUUCCCGGUGUAGCGGUGAAAUGCGUAGAGAUCGGGAGGAACAUCAGUGGCGAAGGCGGCCAUCUGGGACAACACUGACGCUGAGGCACGAAAGCGUGGGGAGCAAACAGGAUUAGAUACCCGCGUAGUCCCUGUCUCUUAUAA